CUGUUCCAAAAAAGAAACGUUAAGCUGCAUCCAGAAUUCAACAUCAAAUCAACGCUGCCAACGCAAUAACAAUAAACUAGGGAGAGCAACCGGAGAACCUGGAGAAAAACCGUCGUAGCAAAUAAGCCGAUACUAACUAACUUAACUCACGUCGGAACCGGGAAUCGAGCCCAGAACCCAGUGGUGAGAGGCACAGGCGCUACAGAGCGACCGGGAAACCUGUGGUGAGAGGCACAGGCGCUACAGAGCGACGCUCUGUCUACUGAGCCACCUAGUGUCUAUCUCUCUGUCGGUCAUUUUGGUCCAUUUGGCUACCUGUGUUUUGAUUUAUCAUCGGGGUUCUACUGUCAUUUUGGUCCAUUUGGCUACCUGUCUUUUGAUUUAUCAUCGGAGUUCUACUGUCAUUUUGGUCCAUUUGGCUACCUGUCUUUUGAUUUAUCAUCGGGGUUCUACUGUCAUUUUGGUCCAUUUGGCUACCUGCCUUUUGAUUUAUCAUCGGAGUUCUACAGUCUACUUCUACUGUUCUACGGUCUAUUUUGGUCCAUUUGGCUACCUGUGUUUUGAUUUACCAUCGGGGUUCUACUGUCAUUUUGGUCCAUUUGGCUACCUGUCUUUUGAUUUAUCAUCGGAGUUCUACUGUCUACAGUCUACUUCUACUGUUCUACGGUCUAUUUUGGUCCAUUUGGCUGCCUGUCAAUUGAUUUAUCAUCGGGGUUUUUCUGUCAUUUUGGUCCAUUUGGCUGCCUGUCUGAUUUAUCAUCGGGUUUUUUCUGUCAUUUUAGUCCAUUUGGCUGCCUGUCAUUUGAUUUAUCAUCGGGGUUCUACUGUCAUUUUGGUCCAUUUGGCUGCCUGUCAUUUGAUUUAUCAUCGGGGUUCUACUGUCAUUUUGGUCCAUUUGGCUGCCUGUCAUUUGAUUUAUCAUCGGGGUUCUACUGUCAUUUUGGUCCAUUUGGCUGCCUGUCAUUUGAAUUAUCAUCGGGGUUCUACUGUCAUUUUGGUCCAUUUGGCUGCCUGUCAAUUGAUUUAUCAAAGGGGUUCUACUGUCAUUUUGGUCCAUUUGGCUACCUGUCUUUUGAUUUAUCAUCGGAGUUCUACUGUCAUUUUGGUCCAUUUGGCUACCUGUCUUUUGAUUUAUCAUCGGGGUUCUACUGUCAUUUUGGUCCAUUUGGCUACCUGCCUUUUGAUUUAUCAUCGGAGUUCUACAGUCUACUUCUACUGUUCUACGGUCUAUUUUGGUCCAUUUGGCUACCUGUGUUUUGAUUUACCAUCGGGGUUCUACUGUCAUUUUGGUCCAUUUGGCUACCUGUCUUUUGAUUUAUCAUCGGAGUUCUACUGUCUACAGUCUACUUCUACUGUUCUACGGUCUAUUUUGGUCCAUUUGGCUGCCUGUCAAUUGAUUUAUCAUCGGGGUUUUUCUGUCAUUUUGGUCCAUUUGGCUGCCUGUCUGAUUUAUCAUCGGGUUUUUUCUGUCAUUUUAGUCCAUUUGGCUGCCUGUCAUUUGAUUUAUCAUCGGGGUUCUACUGUCAUUUUGGUCCAUUUGGCUGCCUGUCAUUUGAUUUAUCAUCGGGGUUCUACUGUCAUUUUGGUCCAUUUGGCUGCCUGUCAUUUGAUUUAUCAUCGGGGUUCUACUGUCAUUUUGGUCCAUUUGGCUGCCUGUCAUUUGAAUUAUCAUCGGGGUUCUACUGUCAUUUUGGUCCAUUUGGCUGCCUGUCAAUUGAUUUAUCAAAGGGGUUCUACUGUCAUUUUGGUCCAUUUGGCUGCCUGUCAAUUGAUUUAUCAUCGGGGUUCUACUGUCAUUUUGGUCCAUUUGGUUCCCUGUCAUUUUGAUUUGUCGCUGGGUUCUAUCGUACUUACUCUGGCGGACAGGUCUGUGUAUUGCACGCUUCGACACUUGCAGGUCUUAGGGCAGCGUCACAUGCCGAGUGCGACGCAAAUGUAUUGUCAUCGCUUCUAACACAAUACAGAACGCGGCUUCUUUCCCCUAAAUAAUGAUGAAAAUAACAGUAAAUAAAAAUACAUAUGAAAACAAUGAUGGUAAUAUAUCAUCAUGAUGGUAAUAUAUACAAUUUUGUUGACAGUGUCAAAUAACAAAAAGUCCUCUGUCAUUGAGAUGCAACUACAUGCAAGAGCAUGCGCAAUAACGCAAAGGUACAUUGCGCUCUAGAGUAAACUCCGUACUUUUGAGUUUGAGGCCUUAAAACUUAAACACGGAAUAAGCUAUUGCAAAAAUAAAACUUGCAGGAGA